rnacentral:rRNA from 1 species
AUGAACGCUAGCUACAGGCUUAACACAUGCAAGUCGAGGGGCAGCAUGAACUUAGCUUGCUAAGUUUGAUGGCGACCGGCGCACGGGUGAGUAACACGUAUCCAACCUGCCGAUGACUCGGGGAUAGCCUUUCGAAAGAAAGAUUAAUACCCGAUGGCAUAGUUCUUCCGCAUGGUAGAACUAUUAAAGAAUUUCGGUCAUCGAUGGGGAUGCGUUCCAUUAGGUUGUUGGCGGGGUAACGGCCCACCAAGCCUUCGAUGGAUAGGGGUUCUGAGAGGAAGGUCCCCCACAUUGGAACUGAGACACGGUCCAAACUCCUACGGGAGGCAGCAGUGAGGAAUAUUGGUCAAUGGACGAGAGUCUGAACCAGCCAAGUAGCGUGAAGGAUGACUGCCCUAUGGGUUGUAAACUUCUUUUAUACGGGAAUAAAGUGAGGCACGUGUGCCUUUUUGUAUGUACCGUAUGAAUAAGGAUCGGCUAACUCCGUGCCAGCAGCCGCGGUAAUACGGAGGAUCCGAGCGUUAUCCGGAUUUAUUGGGUUUAAAGGGAGCGUAGGCGGACGCUUAAGUCAGUUGUGAAAGUUUGCGGCUCAACCGUAAAAUUGCAGUUGAUACUGGGUGUCUUGAGUACAGUAGAGGCAGGCGGAAUUCGUGGUGUAGCGGUGAAAUGCUUAGAUAUCACGAAGAACUCCGAUUGCGAAGGCAGCUUGCUGGACUGUAACUGACGCUGAUGCUCGAAAGUGUGGGUAUCAAACAGGAUUAGAUACCCUGGUAGUCCACACAGUAAACGAUGAAUACUCGCUGUUUGCGAUAUACAGUAAGCGGCCAAGCGAAAGCGUUAAGUAUUCCACCUGGGGAGUACGCCGGCAACGGUGAAACUCAAAGGAAUUGACGGGGGCCCGCACAAGCAGUGGAGUAUGUGGUUUAAUUCGAAGCAACGCGAAGAACCUUACCUGGUCUUGACAUCCACGGAAGUUUUCAGAGAUGAGAAUGUGCCUUCGGGAACCGUGAGACAGGUGCUGCAUGGCUGUCGUCAGCUCGUGUUGUGAAAUGUUGGGUUAAGUCCCGCAACGAGCGCAACCCUUGUGAUAUGUUACUAACAUUGAGUUGAGGACUCAUAUCAGACUGCCGGUGAUAAACCGGAGGAAGGUGGGGAUGACGUCAAAUCAGCACGGCCCUUACGUCCGGGGCUACACACGUGUUACAAUGGGGGGUACAGAAGGCAGCUACACGGCGACGUGAUGCUAAUCCCGAAAGCCUCUCUCAGUUCGGAUUGGAGUCUGCAACCCGACUCCAUGAAGCUGGAUUCGCUAGUAAUCGCGCAUCAGCCACGGCGCGGUGAAUACGUUCCCGGGCCUUGUACACACCGCCCGUCACACCAUGAGAGUUGGGAAUACCCGAAGCCUGUGAGCCAACAGUUAAAUGAGGCAGCAGUCGAAGGUAGAAUCAAUGAUUGGGGUG